CAGAGCCACGGUAACACGAACCGUGCGAACGUUAUUCGGAAUCAUUGGGCUUAAAGCGCGUGUAGGCGGAUGGGAACGUCGGUCGCUGAAAUACCCCGGCUCAACCGGGGAACUGGCAUCGAAACGACCCGUCUCGAGGGGCAUAGGGGGAGCUGGAACUUCCGGUGGAGCGGUGAAAUGCGUUGAGAUCGGAAGGAACGCCCGUGGCGAAAGCGAGCUCCUGGAUGUCUUCUGACGCUGAGACGCGAAAGCUAGGGUAGCGAACGGGAUUAGAUACCCCAGUAGUCCCUGUCUCCUUAUA
rnacentral:rRNA from 1 species